CCCCCACACUGGUACUGAGACACGGACCAGACUCCUACGGGAGGCAGCAGUGAGGAAUAUUGGUCAAUGGAGGAAACUCUGAACCAGCCACGCCGCGUGCAGGAAGAAUGCCUUACGGGUUGUAAACUGCUUUUGUUUAGGAAUAAAAAUUCUUACGUGAUAAGGAUUGUGAAUGUACUAUACGAAUAAGUGUCGGCAAACUCCGUGCCAGCAGCCGCGGUAAUACGGAGGACACGAGCGUUAUCCGGAUUUAUUGGGUUUAAAGGGUGCGUAGGCGGUUUAUUAAGUCAGUAGUGAAAUAUUGCAGCUUAACUGUUAAAAUGGCUAUUGAUACUGAUAGACUUGAGUGAGAUUGGAGUAGCUGGAAUGUGUGGUGUAGCGGUGAAAUGCAUAGAUAUCACACAGAACACCGAUCGCGAAAGCAGGUUACUAAGUCUAUACUGACGCUGAGGCACGAAAGCGUGGGGAGCAAACAGGAUUAGAUACCCUGGUAGUCCACGCCGUAAACGAUGAUCACUAGUUGUUGGAUUUAUUUCUG
rnacentral:rRNA from 1 species